AAGUCGUAACAAGGUUUCCGUAGGUGAACCUGCGGAAGGAUCAUUAAUGAGGGCGUGUGGGCUUAACAUCCCUGCGAACCCUAACCCUUUGUUUACUGCCCCCUUGUGGUUUACUUGGGCGCGGUUCUUCAGACUAAAUUGCAACAUUUUUGGUCUGAGGCCUCGCCCAGAAGGAUGCCACAAUUUAAAAUUCUAGUAAAUAUAUGAUGUCUGAAAAAAUAUUUAAAAUAAGCAAAACUUUCAACAACGGAUCUCUUGGUUCCGGCAUCGAUGAAGAACGCAGCGAAAUGCGAUAAGUAAUGUGGACCGCAGUACUCAGCGACUCAUCGAAUCUUUGAACGCAUAUUGCGCCCCUUGGUAUCCCAAGGGGCACACCUGUCCGAGCGUCAUUAUACAUCUCAUCUAGCCUGGCUUGCUAAGUCUUGCCGGGCUUGGUUUUGGGCUCAAUCUGCUUAACGUAGAGGUCUAAAAGUCAGUGGCGGAUCAAUUAGGCGUUCCAGCGUAGUGAUUAUACCAGCUGUAGAAAUGUCUUUUGUAUACUGUCAAUACUUAAUGAAGUUCAGAGUUUUUGCUGGUUGAAAAAGCCUGAUGGGUUUUUUCCUGGCGGGAAUUUGGGAUUUCCCGAAUUAUUGACCUCGGAUCAGGUGAGGAUACCCGCUGAAUUUAAGCAUAUUAAUAAGCGGAGGAAAAGAAACCAACAGGGAUUGCCUUAGUAGCGGCGAGUGAAGCGGCAACAGCUCACAUUUGAAAUCCGACUUAUUAUUGAGUCUGAGUUGUAAUCUACAGAGGGUGUUUCGGGCAUAGUUCAGGUUUAAGUUCCUUGGAACAGGACGUCAUAGAGGGUGAGAACCCCGUCUGCAACUAGUAACUCAACCCAUGUGAAACCCCUUCGACGAGUCGAGUUGUUUGGGAAUGCAGCUCUAAAUGGGUGGUAAAUUUCAUCUAAAGCUAAAUAUUGGCCGGAGACCGAUAGCGCACAAGUAGAGUGAUCGAAAGAUGAAAAGCACUUUGGAAAGAGAGUUAAAUAGUACGUGAAAUUGUUGAAAGGGAAGCGCUUGCGGCCAGACCUGUGCGUAGUUGAUCAGUUGGUAUUUUUAUCAAUGUAUUCCUCUACAGCCAGGCCAGCAUCGGUUUCGGCGGCGGGACAAAAGCGUGGAGAAUGUAACUCUCUCUUGGGUGAGUACUUAUAGCUCGUCAUGAAAUGCCGCCAGUCGAGACCGAGGACCGCGCUUCGGCUAGGAUGCUGGCGUAAUGGUUGCAAGCGACC
rnacentral:rRNA from 1 species